CUCGGGAAGAGUUAUCUUUUCUGCUUAACGGCCUGCCAACCCUGGAAACGGUUCAGCCGGAGGUAGGGUCCAGUGGCCGGAAGAGCACCGCACGUCGCGCGGUGUCCGGUGN
rfam:Hordeum vulgare subsp. vulgare, WGS project CAJW01000000 data, contig: morex_contig_1538996